UACGAAGGGUGCAAGCGUUAAUCGGAAUUACUGGGCGUAAAGCGUGCGUAGGCGGUUUGUUAAGUCUGUUGUGAAAUCCCCGGGCUCAACCUGGGAAUGGCAAUGGAUACUGGCAAGCUAGAGUGUGUCAGAGGAUGGUGGAAUUCCCGGUGUAGCGGUGAAAUGCGUAGAGAUCGGGAGGAACAUCAGUGGCGAAGGCGGCCAUCUGGGACAACACUGACGCUGAGGCACGAAAACGUGGGGAGCAAACGGG
rnacentral:rRNA from 1 species